CCCUCCCUUUAUUUCCCCCUUCCCUAUCAACCCACCCUCCCCCUCCCCCCAUUGUCACUAUGGAGAUUGUGUCCAUGGAAACAGCCAUUCCAACAUCUUGGGUCUUUCUUUCCUGUGGUGUCACUGAUUUGAGUGAUGUGAGAAAGUAGGAAGUAAGUGCUGGCUGGGCAGGCAUGCGAGGCAGGGCAGGGUGGGGUGCGGCUGACGGUAGGACAUUUCCAUUCCAUCAUGAGUGUCUACCACUUAUCUCCACAGUCUAACCUUGUGCUUAGGGCACCUCACUGAGAAGUUCUCCUUAUGUAGCAAACAAUCAUCUCUCUGGCUAUUUCCAGUGCUUCCUGCAGGCUGUAGAGCUUGCUGCACACCAGGUAGAUUCCAUUGGCCCAGAGAAUACAACCUUCAUGGACCCAAAAUUCGUUGCUAUCAAGAGGUAGUUCAGGGAUUUGUAACUCUGGCUUGGGGCCACCUUCUGAAGUGGUGGGCAAGAAGGGCUUUGUGUCCAAAACAGUCUUUUCACUGCUGCCCUCAGUGGCUGCUUUCUUACAAGGGAGCCCCCCUGGACAAGGACCGAGGGCCUCCACCACAGUCUUCUGAGUGGUGGCGCCGCUUGAACCUGGGGUGUGCGGCCAGGCUCCUCUGCUCCUUCUGCUGCUCCUCUUCCUUCUCGGUGUCUGUCUUGGAGCCAUUUGAAGCACUUUUGUGCCAAACCUUGACUUUGCUCUGCAUUUCUGUGGCCCUCUUAGGAGUCAGAUUCUUUGGGAGAGUGGCUGGAUAAUCUUGGGGAUAAAUGGGUCCAAAGAGAUCACCCAUGUUCUGGUAACUGGCCCACUCGCCACACAGACAGCAAACCAGGUGCCCCAUAACAGAUGACUCCAUCACCACAGGCCCCUGCAGCAUGAAGGAGGAAGCUGGGAGCACCUUGCUUUCGGUGCUGCUGGGGGGAGGGGUCAGGGACCUUUGACCUUUCUGACUCCUCACCAAUUUGGUCUGUUCCUCUUCUUCAGCAUUGAUGAUUGUACAAAUGGCUCCAACUUCACACUUAUUUACUACAUGGAUAUAGGGGUAAAAAGACUUGUUUUUGGCAUCAGUUUUAUCCAGUGGCUGGGUGGCAUACUUUAGCUUGAUCUCAGGCUUCUGGGGUUCUAUGAUGGGAACUGCUUGUUUGGUUUUCCGUUUCCUUGGUUGGGCCCCAGGCUUCCUUCUCUCUCUCCUUUGCCUCUGUUUUUUGGCUUUGGCUCUCCAUUUGCAGAACCUUCUGGUAUCUGAGGUGGCUGGGGGAGGCAGGGGGUGGUGGCUGUUGCUGCUUUUUUUGCUUAUUCACACUGCCAAUGGGUCUCCCCUUCUUCUUUCCUGAUGGGAAAUAUCCCUCUGGGGGGAAACUCUCUUGUUUGGGUGAAAUGGUCACUGUUUCAUUCUCCUUCUCUUCAGCCUUGGGGUUUGCCUUGGGGGCCAAUAUGCCCACUGGAGCUACAUUCUUUGAGUCAGGAAAGAUUAAAGGUGCUGCCCCACCCAGGGAACCA
rnacentral:lncRNA from 1 species